AGCUCCACGAGUGUAUAUCAACGUUGUUGCUGUUAAAAAGUUCGUAGUCGGAAGAGGUGGGCGAACUGGGUGGGGAGGGGUCCGAAUGGACCCCCCCACGCGGUUUGUCGGGGCGCACUGCGGCAACGUGGGGCGUCCCAGUGGAGGGAAGUCAAAGGGAGUGGGUCUUAACUGAUCCUCCUCCCUUUCCCUCCCGUUUACCUUGAACAACUCUGAUCGUUUCACGAAGUCCGUUGUGGACAUUGUAAGAUCACGCAUGGGAUAAUGGAAGAGGACUGUUGCGAGCCUUGUUCUGUUGGUUCGUCUUUGGGCGCGCACGUAAUGAUCAACAGGAGUGGAUGGGGAUAUUGGUAUUUGGAAGUGAGAGGUGAAAUUCUAUGAUCUCCCAAAGACCCACGAG
rnacentral:rRNA from 1 species